GACGAACGCUGGCGGCGUGCUUAACACAUGCAAGUCGAACGAAGAGCGAUGGAAGCUUGCUUCUAUCAAUCUUAGUGGCGAACGGGUGAGUAACGCGUAAUCAACCUGCCCUUCAGAGGGGGACAACAGUUGGAAACGACUGCUAAUACCGCAUACGAUCCAAUCUCGGCAUCGAGACUGGAUGAAAGGUGGCCUCUAUUUAUAAGCUAUCACUGAAGGAGGGGAUUGCGUCUGAUUAGCUAGUUGGAGGGGUAACGGCCCACCAAGGCGAUGAUCAGUAGCCGGUCUGAGAGGAUGAACGGCCACAUUGGGACUGAGACACGGCCCAGACUCCUACGGGAGGCAGCAGUGGGGAAUCUUCCGCAAUGGACGAAAGUCUGACGGAGCAACGCCGCGUGAGUGAUGACGGCCUUCGGGUUGUAAAGCUCUGUUAAUCGAGACGAAUGGUUCUUGUGCGAAU
rnacentral:rRNA from 1 species